rnacentral:rRNA from 1 species
CACGUAGUUAGCCGGGGCUUCUUAGUCAGGUACCGUCUGGCGACCCAAAGGUCGCUAUUUCUUCCCUGCUGAUAAAGCUUUACAUACCGAAAUACUUCUUCACUCACGCGGCGUCGCUGCAUCAGGGUUUCCCCCAUUGUGCAAUAUUCCCCACUGCUGCCUCCCGUAGGAGUUUGGGCCGUGUCUCAGUCCCAAUGUGGCCGUUCACCCUCUCAGGCCGGCUACUGAUCGUCGCCUUGGUGAGCCAUUACCCCGCCAACAAGCUAAUCAGACGCGGAACCAUCGUAUACCACCAGAGUUUUUCACACCACUUCAUGCGAAGCUGUGCGCUUAUGCGGUAUUAGCACUAUUCUAAGUGUACUCCCCAGUAUACGGCAGGUUUCCACGCGUUACUCACCGUCCGCCACUAACUCAUAAAUCACUAGGUUUCAAUAUGAGUCCGUUCGACUUGCAUGUGUUAAGCACGCCGCAGCGUUCAUCCGUGAGCCGAGGAUCAAACU